UGAUAAAUCAUACUCAUGAUAUUGCAAUAAAGAUAUCUUCUUCUUGCAUUAAAAUAAUGAGUCUAAACUUGCCGUCAAAAAUCCUAAUUGAGAACCCUGAAAGAGGCAAGUUUGGAUGGUUUUAUAGGUACAUCUAUGUAAGUUAACCAAUAGACAAAGAGGCAAAGUAAAUGAAACGAUUGUACCAGAGUCAAGUUAAGAAGGAUUAGGUAAAAUUAAAAAUAGACGACAAAGAGGCAAGGUAAAUUAUAUGAUAGUGCAAGAGGCAAGUUUGGAAGGAUUAGGUAAAUUUAAAAAUAGACAACAGAGAGGCGAGGUAAAUUAAAUGAUAGUGCAAGAGGCAAGUUUGGAUGGAUUAGAUAAAUAUAACAAUAGACAAAGAGGCAAG
rnacentral:lncRNA from 1 species